AUCUACGGCAAUGCCACCUUGAACAAGCCCGAUCCUGUCUGAUCUCAGAAGCUAAGCAGGGUCAGGCCUGGUUAGUACUUGGAUGGGAGACCACUUAGGAAGACCAAGUGCUGUAGGCA
rnacentral:rRNA from 1 species